rnacentral:rRNA from 1 species
UCCGUAGGUGAACCUGCGGAGGGAUCAUUGCUGGAACGCGCUUCGGCGCACCCAGAAACCCUUUGUGAACUUAUACCUAUUUGUUGCCUCGGCGUAGGCCGGCCUUUUGUGACAAAGGCCCCCUGGAAACAGGGAGCAGCCCGCCGGCGGCCAACUAAACUCUUGUUUCUAUAGUGAAUCUCUGAGUAAAAACAUAAAUGAAUCAAAACUUUCAACAACGGAUCUCUUGGUUCUGGCAUCGAUGAAGAACGCAGCGAAAUGCGAUAAGUAAUGUGAAUUGCAGAAUUCAGUGAAUCAUCGAAUCUUUGAACGCACAUUGCGCCCUCUGGUAUUCCGGAGGGCAUGCCUGUUCGAGCGUCAUUUCAACCCUCAAGCCUGGCUUGGUGAUGGGGCACUGCCUUCUAGCGAGGGCAGGCCCUGAAAUCUAGUGGCGAGCUCGCUAGGACCCCGAGCGUAGUAGUUAUAUCUCGUUCUGGAAGGCCCUGGCGGUGCCCUGCCGUUAAACCCCCAACUUCUGAAAAUUUGACCUCGGAUCAGGUAGGAAUACCCGCUGAACUUAAGCAUAUCAAUAAGCGGAGGA